rnacentral:rRNA from 1 species
AAAACUUUCAACAACGGAUCUCUUGGUUCUGGCAUCGAUGAAGAACGCAGCGAAAUGCGAUAAGUAAUGUGAAUUGCAGAAUUCAGUGAAUCAUCGAAUCUUUGAACGCACAUUGCGCCCGCCAGUAUUCUGGCGGGCAUGCCUGUCCGAGCGUCAUUUCAACCCUCAAGCCCCCGGGCUUGGUGUUGGGGAUCGGCGAGCCUCCGCGCCCGCCGUCCCCUAAAUCUAGUGGCGGUCUCGCUGUAGCUUCCUCUGCGUAGUAGCACACCUCGCACUGGGAAACAGCGCGGCCACGCCGUUAAACCCCCAACUUCUGAACGUUUGACCUCGGAUCAGGUAAGAAUACCCGCUGAACUUAAGCAUAUCAAUAA